rnacentral:lncRNA from 1 species
GAAAGGGAAGAACAUAAAAAGCACUGGAAAAUUUCCAGGGAUGUGGGCACGGACAUCUUUGGAGGCUGCUAUUCUACAAUGCAUGAAGGAUGGAGGAAGUACGAGUUGUCAAGCUGCGGAACCUGGGAUCUCCUACCUCUGGCUUUCUCACUACGUGAAAUGAAUUUCCAAACUGUUCAAGCUAAAAAAAAAAAUGCAUAUAUCUUAGUUUGCUUUGUGGCUUUCUGACUGAUAUUAUGAACAAAUUCAUGCUAUAUAAUUGUAUCCCCUUGAUAACUUUUCAUACUAAAUUUACACUCAUGAACACCAAAGUACGAAAUGAAAAAUUCAGGCAAGUUACAGCAAAGAGCCCAGAUAAACAAGGGAAAAAAUGCUUGUCUAUGAGCAAUCUACCAAAUCAGGAUCGCUACUUGGAAGCAUUCAAAAUUAGUCUUUAUUAUUAAAGUACAUUUUUUUCACAGGAAGAAAGACUUCCUGUAUAUGUCUAAACGGUUGAUGUAAAAGUGCAGCUGGCCAUACAUAGGCUAAUCCACAUUAAUUUAAUAUUAAAAUACAGUAUGCCAGCUCUUUCUAAAUUUGCUCCAGAGCAAUAGAUGUCUUGGGAGUCCAUAUUAAUGAAACAUUAUGUUGCUCUAAGCAAAAAGGAGCCCUGCGGAACAGCCCUGAAAAGAAGAAAAAGACCAGGAAACUUCACAGGCUGCUCUGCUCAAAAAGAAGAUUAAAAAUACCCACUAGAAGAAUUAGGAAACAAAUACAAGAGCACCUUUUUCUUUAAUUUCUCCACUUUCCUCUUUCCACAUAUGAUUUAACACAAGUUUUGCCAUAAUAGGCUGUCCUUAAUAAAGACAACACAGAAUGAAUUAAUAAGUGAAUGAAUGAAUAAAAAACAAAUGAUUGGAUAGAAUGGUUCAUCAUUUGGGAUCAAUAUGUCUAUGAAGGAUAGUAAUGAAAGUAUAAGUAGUUGUCAACAGUUUCCCUCUUCUUUCUCACUCAGCAGCAGCCACAUGUUCUCACUGUCCUUAAGCAGAUCUAGUAGUUGCGUGGAGUGCUAAAGUCUAACUGUGAA